rnacentral:rRNA from 1 species
GACGAACGCUGGCGGCGUGCUUAACACAUGCAAGUCGAACGGAAAGGCCCUGCUUUUGUGGGGUGCCCGAGUGGCGAACGGGUGAGUAACACGUGAGUAACCUGCCCUUGACUUUGGGAUAACUUCAGGAAACUGGGGUUAAUACCGGAUAGGAGCUCCUGCUGCAUUGUGGGGGUUGGAAAGUUGCGGCGGUUGGGGAUGGAUUCGCGGCUUAUCAGCUUGUUGGUGGGGUAGUGGCUUACCCAGGCUUUGACCGGUCGCCGGCCUGUGAGGGGGACCGGCCACAUGGGGACUGAGAGACGGCCCAGACUCCUACAGGAGACAGCGGGCGGGAAUAUGGCACAAUGAGAGGACGCCUGUGGCAGCAACGCCGCGUGCGGGAUGACGGCCUGCGGGUUGUAAACAGCUUCCGCCUGUGACGAAGCGGGAGUGACGGUACUGGGUAAAGAAGCACCGGCUAACUACGUG